rnacentral:rRNA from 1 species
CAAUAGCGUAUAUUAAAGUUGUUGCGGUUAAAAAGCUCGUAGUUGGAUUUCGAUCGGGAACUGGUGGUCCAUCUUUUGGAUGUGCAUCUACAUAGGUCUUGGUCUCCUCUCGAAAAACGUUUCUGCGCUUGAUUGCGUGGUGCGGUGUUCGGGACUUUUACUUUGAGGAAAUUAGAGUGUUCACGGCAGGCAUACGCCUUGAAUAUAUUAGCAUGGAAUAAUAAUAUAGGAUCUUGGUUCUAUUUUGUUUGGUUUCUUAGAGCUAAGAUAAUGAUUAAUAAGGGACGAAUUAGGGGGUCGGAUUCGUUAUUGUACGAGUCAGAGGUGGAAAUUACUUGGUA